AGCGAACGCUAGCGGCGGGCCUAACACAUGCAAGUCGAGCGCAUACCUUCGGGUAUGAGCGGCGGGACGGGUGAGUAACGCGUAGGUCAUCUACCCUUUGGUGGGGGAUAACCCAGGGAAACUUGGGCUAAUACCGCACGAGGUCUACGGAUCAAAGCCUUCGGGCGCCAGAGGAUGAGCCUGCGUCGCAUUACCUAGUUGGCGGGGGUAACGGCCCACCAAGGGGACAUGCGUAGCUGGUCUGAGAGGAUGAUCAGCCACACUGGGACUGAGACACGGCCCAGACUCCUACGGGAGGCAGCAGUGGGGAAUAUUGCGCAAUGGGGGAAACCCUGACGCAGCCACGCCGCGUGGGUGAGUGAAAGGCCUUCGGGGUUGUAAAGCCCU
rnacentral:rRNA from 1 species